CGCGUAGGCGGGAUAUUAAGUCAGGUGUGAAAACUCAGGGCUCAACCUUGGGACUGCACUGAAACUGAUAUUCUUGAGGACAGGAGAGGAAAGUGGAAUUCCUAGUGUAGCGGUGAAAUGCGUAGAUAUUAGGAGGAACACCAGUGGCGAAGGCGACUUUCUGGACUGUAACUGACGCUGAGGCGCGAAAGCGUGGGGAGUGAACG
rnacentral:rRNA from 1 species